AAGAAGAGGAAGAGGAGGAGGAGGACACCUCCUGGACAGGAAAACUCUGUGCCUUGGUUUACAAAAUCAAAGGCCCACCCAAGCCAGAGAAGGAGCAGCCGACGGAGGAGGAGGAGAGAUGCCCCACAACAUUGAAGGAACUCAUCUCACAGACGAUGAUCUGCUGGGCCCAGGAGGACCAGAUCCAGGAUUCAGAGCUGGUCCGAAUGAUGUUCAACCUCCUCCGGAGGCAGUAUGACAGCAUCGGGGAGCUGCUGCAGGCACUGCGGAAGACCUACACCAUCAGCCACACCUCUGUAAGCGACACCAUCAACCUGCUGGCUGCCCUGGGCCAAAUCCGCUCCCUCCUCAGUGUCAGGAUGGGCAAGGAAGAGGAGUUGCUCAUGAUCAAUGGGCUGGGG
rnacentral:lncRNA from 1 species